rnacentral:rRNA from 1 species
GGAAUAUUGGACAAUGGGCGAAAGCCUGAUCCAGCAAUGCCGCGUGUGUGAAGAAGGUCUUCGGAUUGUAAAGCACUUUCGACGGGGACGAUGAUGACGGUACCCGUAGAAGAAGCCCCCGGCUAACUUCGUGCCAG